GGUGGCCUAGUGGUUAAAGCAUCUGCCCCUGAAGCAGGAGGUUGUGUGUUCAAACCCUUGCCAAAUCAUACCAAAGACA